CCUCGCUAAACGAUGCACACCUGUAACUCACGUGACCCAUGGUUAUUAUUGAAACGAGAACGAGGGCGUCGUGCCUUUAUAAGACUGCGUUAAUGGUUCCGUGGAGUUAUCCCUUCCGUUGUUGUUCUUUGAUUGUUAAACAUGGCUUCAUUUGCAAAGGUGGUUGUGUGUGUCCUCAUUGCUUGUGUCUGUAAUGCAUUCGGUUUUCCGAAGAAAGAUGUGAACUUUAAGGCCUCUGCAGUUGACCGCCAAAGUGAUGAUGUGGUUGUCACCACAACACCCAAUCCCCACAACCAGACCACCUCUGCCCCUACUGAAGCUGGUGGUGGAGCAAGUGAAGAUGCUGUGGCUACUACCCCAGCACCUAAUCCACACAACCAGACAACUUCUGCACAAACUGAAGUUACUGAUGGAGCAAGUGAAGAUGCUGUGGCUACCACCCCAACACCAAAUCCCCCAACUACAUCUGACCACACUGCAGCUACCGAUGAUGCAAGUGAGGGUGCUGUGGCUGCCCAAACUGGAACUACUGUAUCCCAUACGACUGAAGUCUGAUUCGACUGCUCCUCUGGUCACAAUGACCUGUCUGGACUUUUUGCCUCUACAUGUUCACUGCAAUAAAGGACAGAUUUGUAUUUUUUUUUUAAUCAAAUGUUGUCUUGCCUUUUUCAAAUUGAGGCCUUGUCCUGUUUUGGUAGUGGAGAUAACUGACGCCUCUUUCCUAACGCACUACAUUUCUGGCAACUUAUAAUGCAUAGUGAACAUGUAAUAAUUCGGUGGUAUGAUCCCAGGAGAACAUUUUUAAGAAACAAAUCACAGAAUUGUGGUUCCUCGCCGUUUUUUUUUUAAUAUAAAUCGAGGCUUUCCUCAUAAUACCGCAAGAACAA
rnacentral:lncRNA from 1 species